UUUGUCGCGUCUGCUGUGAAAUCUGGGGGCUCAACCCCCAGCCUGCAGUGGGUACGGGCAGACUAGAGUGCGGUAGGGGAGAUUGGAAUUCCUGGUGUAGCGGUGGAAUGCGCAGAUAUCAGGAGGAACACCGAUGGCGAAGGCAGAUCUCUGGGCCGUAACUGACGCUGAGGAGCGAAAGCAUGGGGAGCGAACAGGAUUAGAUACCCUGGUAGUCCAUGCCGUAAACGUUGGGAACUAGAUGUAGGGGCCAUUCCACGGUUUCUGUGUCGCAGCUAACGCAUUAAGUUCCCCGCCUGGGGAGUACGGCCGCAAGGCUAAAACUCAAAGGAAUUGACGGGGGCCCGCACAAGCGGCGGAGCAUGCGGAUUAAUUCGAUGCAACGCGAAGAACCUUACCAAGGCUUGACAUAUACCGGAAACGUCCAGAGAUGGUCGCCCCGCAAGGUCGGUAUACAGGUGGUGCAUGGUUGUCGUCAGCUCGUGUCGUGAGAUGUUGGGUUAAGUCCCGCAACGAGCGCAACCCUCGUUCUAUGUUGCCAGCACGUUAUGGUGGGAACUCAUAGGAGACUGCCGGGGUCAACUCGGAGGAAGGUGGGGAUGACGUCAAAUCAUCAUGCCCCUUAUGUCUUGGGCUUCACGCAUGCUACAAUGGCCGAUACAAAGGGCUGCAAUACCGUAAGGUGGAGCGAAUCCCAAAAAGUCGGUCUCAGUUCGGAUUGAGGUCUGCAACUCGACCUCAUGAAGUCGGAGUCGCUAGUAAUCGCAGAUCAGCAACGCUGCGGUGAAUACGUUCCCGGGCCUUGUACACACCGCCCGUCAAGUCAUGAAAGUCGGUAACACCCGAA
rnacentral:rRNA from 1 species